CUACGGGUUGCUCCAGUGGGGAAUAUUGGACAAUGGGGGCAACCCUGAUCCAGCGAUGCCGCGUGUGUGAAGAAGGCCUUCGGGUUGUAAAGCACUUUUUACAGGGAGGAAAUGCCAUAGACGAAUAAUCUAUGGUUUUGACGUUACCUGUUGAAUAAGCACCGGCUAACUCUGUGCCAGCAGCCGCGGUAAUACAGAGGGUGCGAGCGUUAAUCGGAAUGACUGGGCGUAAAGGGCGCGUAGGCGGCCUAGUAAGUUAGCUGUGAAAGACCAGGGCUCAACCUUGGGGUGUUAGCUAAGACUGCUAAGCUAGAGUACAGUAGAGGGGAGUGGAAUUUCCGGAGUAGCGGUGAAAUGCGUAGAUAUCGGAAGGAACACCAGUAGUGAAGACGGCUCCCUGGACUGAAACUGACGCUGAGGCGCGAAAGCGUGGGGAGCGAACAGGAUUAGAUACCCCGGUAGUC
rnacentral:rRNA from 1 species